rnacentral:rRNA from 1 species
AACAAACGCUGGCGGCGUGCCUAAUACAUGCAAGUCGAACGGGGAAAGUCGCAAGAUGAGUACUAGUGGCGCACGGGUGAGUAACACGUGGAUAAUCUUCCCUCGAGUGGGGAAUAACUAAUCGAAAGAUUGGCUAAUACCGCAUAAGACCACAGGUCCCACGGGACUAGGGGUUAAAGCAGUAAUGCGCUCGAGGAUGAGUCCGCGUCGGAUUAUGGUAGUUGGUGGGGUAACGGCCUACCAAGCCGACGAUCUGGAGCUGGUCUGAGAGGAUGAUCAGCCACACUGGAACUGAGACACGGUCCAGACUCCUACGGGAGGCAGCAGUAGGGAAUAUUGGACAAUGGGGGAAACCCUGAUCCAGCAACGCCGCGUGAGUGACGAAGGCCUUCGGGUUGUAAAGCUCUGUCGCACAAGACGAAAAAAAUGACGGUAUUGUGCAAGAAAGGACCGGCCAACUUCGUGCCAGCAGCCGCAGUAA